rnacentral:ncRNA from 1 species
GAUCUUCGGGGCAGGGUGAGAUUCCUGACCGGCGGUGUGCAUCGGAGCCAGAUGUCCGGUGUGAGCCCGCGAGCCUUAUGGCACGAUCCGGUGAGAUUCCGGAGCCGACGGUAUAGUCCGGAUGAGAGAAGAGA